rnacentral:rRNA from 1 species
GUAGUCCACGCCGUAAACGAUGAGUGCUAAGUGUUAGGGGGUUUCCGCCCCUUAGUGCUGCAGCAAACGCAUUAAGCACUCCGCCUGGGGAGUACGACCGCAAGGUUGAAACUCAAAUGAAUUGACGGGGACCCGCACAAGCGGUGGAGCAUGUGGUUUAAUUCGAAGCAACGCGAAGAACCUUACCAAAUCUUGACAUCCUUUGAUCACUCUAGAGAUAGAGUUUCCCUUAUGGGCAAAGUGACAGGUGGUGCAUGGUUGUCGUCAGCUCGUGUCGUGAGAUGUUGGGUUAAGUCCCGCAACGAGCGCAACCCUUAAUAUUAGUUGCCAUCAUUGAGUUGGGCACUCUAAUGUGACUGCCGGUGACAAACCGGA